UACGUAGGGUGCAAGCGUUAAUCGGAAUUACUGGGCGUAAAGCGUGCGCAGGCGGUUUUGCAAGACAGGUGUGAAAUCCCCGGGCUUAACCUGGGAACUGCACUUGUGACUGCACAGCUGGAGUACGGCAGAGGGGGAUGGAAUUCCGCGUGUAGCAGUGAAAUGCGUAGAUAUGCGGAGGAACACCAAUGGCGAAGGCAGUCCCCUGGGCCUGUACUGACGCUCAUGCACGAAAGCGUGGGGAGCAAACAGG
rnacentral:rRNA from 1 species